rnacentral:rRNA from 1 species
UACGUAGGGUCCGAGCGUUGUCCGGAAUUACUGGGCGUAAAGAGCUCGUAGGUGGUUUGUCGCGUUGUUCGUGAAAACUCACAGCUUAACUGUGGGCGUGCGGGCGAUACGGGCAGACUUGAGUACUGCAGGGGAGACUGGAAUUCCUGGUGUAGCGGUGGAAUGCGCAGAUAUCAGGAGGAACACCGGUGGCGAAGGCGGGUCUCUGGGCAGUAACUGACGCUGAUGCACGAAAGUGUGGGGAUCAAACAGG